AUAUUUACCUAAUAGGGAAGAUACCAUUAUUAUGAAGGUGGUUUUCCCAGGGGACACUUAUACUUUGCACUCUGGUUGUGCUGACCCUUAGAUUUUCCCAAAUGCGGGAAACUCAACUGCAUAAUCUGUGUAGUGGGGAGCUGUGUUUGCCUUCUCAUCAA